rnacentral:hammerhead_ribozyme from 1 species
AUCCAGCUGACGAGUCUCAAACAAGACGAAACGCGCGUCCUGGAU